rnacentral:misc_RNA from 1 species
CGGUCUUCAAGUCCCUACUACUAGUGGACCAGAGAGCCGCGCUACGCACCUUAUGUGCCAGUUCAUCCUCGUAUAAUGACAAAGCCAGGAAAGAAGAGCUAACCGUUCAACUCCUACUCUUAUUCCUAGUCCUCCCAUUAAGAAAAGAGUACGAGAGGUAAAAAGCAAGGUCUUGCAAAGAUAAAUCCCCCUACACCUCUUCCUAACAAGAGA